GGACUACAAGGGUUUCUAAUCCCGUUUGCUCCCCUGGCUUUCGCGCCUCAGCGUCAGAAAAGGACCAGUCAUGCGCUUUCGCCACCGGCGUUCCUGUCGAUAUCAACGCAUUUCACCGCUCCACCGACAGUUCCCAUGACCCCUUCCUUCCUCGAGCCGCAGUGGUAUCAAGGGCAGUUCUCCAGUUAAGCUGGAGGAUUUCACCCGUGACCCGCUCGGCCGCCUACGCGCCCUUUAAGCCCAGUGAUUCCGAAUAACGUUUGGACGGUUCGUCUUACCGCGGCUGCUGGCAC
rnacentral:rRNA from 3 species